AACGAACGCUGGCGGCAGGCCUAACACAUGCAAGUCGAGCGGACCCUUCGGGGUUAGCGGCGGACGGGUGAGUAACGCGUGGGAAUAUGCCCUUCUCUACGGAAGAGUCCUGGGAAACUGGGGGGAAUACCGUAUACGCCCUUGGGGGGAAAGAUUUAUCGGGGAAGGAUUAGCCCGCGUUGGAUUAGGUAGUUGGUGGGGUAAUGGCCUACCAAGCCGACGAUCCAUAGCUGGUUUGAGAGGAUGAUCAGCCACACUGGGACUGAGACACGGCCCAGACUCCUACGGGAGGCAGCAGUGGGGAAUCUUAGACAAUGGGGGCAACCCUGAUCUAGCCAUGCCGCGUGAGUGAUGAAGGCCUUAGGGUUGUAAAGCUCUUUCAGCUGGGAAGAUAAUGACGGUACCAGCAGAAGAAGCCCCGGCUAACUCCGUG
rnacentral:rRNA from 1 species